CUCUGCCGCCUGCCCCGCGCCGCCUUUGGCAAUGGUAGAACUCACACUGGUGAGGAAAUGGGAUCCGGUGGUUCUAGACUUGCCAACUACGGUGCCGGGCUCAGCCGCCAC
rnacentral:pre_miRNA from 1 species